rnacentral:rRNA from 1 species
UACGGGGGGGGCAAGCGUUGUUCGGAAUUACUGGGCGUAAAGGGCUCGUAGGCGGCCAACUAAGUCAGACGUGAAAUCCCUCGGCUUAACCGGGGAACUGCGUCUGAUACUGGAUGGCUUGAGUUUGGGAGAGGGAUGCGGAAUUCCAGGUGUAGCGGUGAAAUGCGUAGAUAUCUGGAGGAACACCGGUGGCGAAGGCGGCAUCCUGGACCGACUACGACGCUGAGGAGCGAAAGCCAGGGGAGCAAAGCGGG